AUUCCAUGAUGAGGGCAUCUUUGUAAUAGUUCUUUAAAUCUUUCCCACACCUCAUCUAAGGAUUCGUCAUCCAUCUGUUGGAAGGUAGUGAUCUCAUUCCGCAACU
rfam:Gossypium raimondii chromosome 12, whole genome shotgun sequence.